CAAGGAAGGGUAGGAGACUGGGAAAUGGAGGAUUUCAAACAUUUUUACCUAAACACUUGGUGAUUUAAUUCUGCUCCGCUGUUCAAGCCAUUCUUUUGCAUAUAUCAACAGAGGGAAAAGGGUUUUUCUUAAUGUUAUUUGAUUUGAAUAUUUUUUUUUGAAUUAUAAAACACAAUUAUGACAUGAUUACUGUCAUGUCAAAAGGGUGAACUCAUUGUUAAGGUGGUUGAAUUUCCAUAGAGACAGCUCUACGAUAUUCAAUAUGUGGACCCAUAAUAUUAUUUUCGUUUGAAUCUCUUCUUUCUUGCUUCUGGGGCCUUCUUAUUUGCUGAUCUCGCAUUGUUCUUUUACAUGGAACUCCAGGGACUAGAAAAACCGCUUUAUGUAAAGCAUUAGCUCAAAAACUAUCCAUCUGAUUUAACUCCAGAUACCUACAGUCCCAAUUGCUUCAAAUUAAUGCACAUUCUCUAUUCAGCAAAUGAUACUCUGAAAAUGGCAAGCUGAUGAAGUUGAAAGUCUCGAUGCUGUUAAAAAAUUUGCUUGAUCGAGUUUGGAACCUUCAGAUUCUAUUCAGGUACCAUGCUCUCCCCUUUUCCUUUUGCAGGCUAUUUUCUAAGCUUUUUCAUCAGAUGUAAUACAAAAGAUCAAAAUCAACAUUUUGCAUUCAGUUAAGGGUCAAGUUCAUAUAUUCAAGCUUUUCCUAAUUCCCUUCAACCAUGGCAUGUGCCCACAAGCCCUUGACUU